rnacentral:rRNA from 1 species
UACGUAGGCGGAAAAUUAAGUCAGUAGUGAAAUCCUGCAGCUUAACUGUAGAACUGCUAUUGAUACUGGUUUUCUUGAAUAUAGUUGAGGUAGGCGGAAUGUGUAAUGUAGCGGUGAAAUGCUUAGAUAUUACACAGAACACCGAUUGCGAAGGCAGCUUACUAAGCUAUGAUUGACGCUGAGGUACGAAAGCGUGGGGAGCGAACAGGAUUAGAUACCCUGGUAGUCC